UACGUAGGGGGCUAGCGUUGUCCGGAAUUAUUGGGCGUAAAGAGCUCGUAGGCGGUUUGUCGCGUCUGCCGUGAAAGUCCGGGGCUCAACCCCGGACUUGCAGUGGGUACGGGCAGACUAGAGUGUGGUAGGGGAGACUGGAAUUCCUGGUGUAGCGGUGAAAUGCGCAGAUAUCAGGAGGAACACCGAUGGCGAAGGCAGGUCUCUGGGCCACUACUGACGCUGAGAAGCGAAAGCAUGGGGAGCGAACAGG
rnacentral:rRNA from 1 species